AAUGUGUCUGAUCAAAUUUUAAAAGGGCAAAAUUGUUUUCAAGGGUGAAAGAGUGAAUAUUUUAAAAAUUAGAAUGGGGUGAAAAUAUCCAAUAAUACAGGUUAUAUGUAUUAAAACAGUACAUAUGCAUUUCUCUUUUCUUUAAAAUGAAAAUAAUUUGUUCUGUAAAAGGACAAAUUUUGUUCUGAUUUGUAUCAAAUAAAUAAAUAUGUGCCAGAUUUAUUAUUUUGCAGGCACCUAAGAUACCAUCAGUUGAGCGUCAAGCUGUGCAAAAAUUCUAUGUCAUGUUACAGAAUCUUUCUUAAAUACAGGUAUAUGUCUGCUCAUCUGGCAAUCUUAGGACAUCACUGGAUGGUUUUGUUUAAAAAGAUUACAGAGUUAACACACACUUCCAGCAUGAAGACCAGCCAGUUGCCUCACCUGUCCGGACAUUGUUAAAGUACUUUGUGACAGUGAAAAGACAUGGCUUUAAAUGACUGCAUCAGAGAUCAAUCCAGGUUAUAAAUCUGAGGAAAACAAUAAAGUAUCACUUCGAGCUACUUAUAUCACUGCCUUAAUAAGUUGUCUGCAUGUGUAACUAACAAAGGACAGUGACCAGUUGUACCUAUGAUAUCAGAGGGCAUCCUGAAAAACACCCAUCACUAAGAAUAGAAAACUUCAAAUGACUUUUGUAUCAAUCCUUUUGAAUUUCAUCUGGCUUGGAAUUUCAGUAGCCUUUACCAUCCUUCAAGCAUUUCAUGAAGUACAUGUACCAAUUUGCAGGUAUAAAAUGUUUGAAACAGAUUGCUUGUCCCAAAUAAAAAAAAUAAUAAAUUCUCUGCCAAUUAAUAGUGUCAUAAGCAGUUGAUUGAUAUCACAGUUCCACUGGCAUAGUAUUUGUAGUUGAAUGGUGCCAUUUUUAAGAAAACUUUUCACAAAAACCUGGAAAACAUCAGAUGGAAAGGAGCAUCUACAAGAAAAACAGUGAACACUUUCUUGAAUAUUAACAAUGAUAUGUCAUGUCCAUUUACAUCCUUUAUAAAAACUAAUUAACCAAAUCAUAGAGAAUUAUGUACAAAUUUGUCCUUUUGUGUAUUCAUAGUGUAUUAAAUUGAUUUUACUAAUUUAUAAA